UCUCACUCUGUCACCCAGGCUGGAGUGCGGUGGCACAAUCACGGAUCACUACCACCUCAACUUCCUGGGCUCAAGCGUUCCUCCCAUCUCGGCCUCCGGAGUAGCUGGGACUAUAAGCAUGCACCACCACACCCGGCCUCAUUCAACAACCUACUAUGUGUCAUGUAGAGAGGGAUCUGACAGAGAAACAGUGGCACCAGAGGGCACAGGCACCGCAAUUUGACUAUUAGCAUCCAAACGUAUGCCCUGAUGGACACAGAGGUACUAUUUCAUUCAUUUCUCAGAAGUCAGUGAGACAGAGGUUAAUGUCAUUUCCAUUUUACAGUGGAGCAGACUGAGGUUUGGAGAGUACAUGAAUUGCUUCUAACUGAUGAAGGUAGAAUGUGAAUCCAAGCAAUUGGAUUCUGGAACCUAUGUUCUUUCUAUUCUUUUGGUCUUUCCCCAUUUGUACAGACAGCACAUAUAAACAUUCUUGAAUUUAACCCUCCCAAGAACUUGGCAGGUGGUGUAACAGGUAAGGUUUUCGAAUAUCUGCUGAUAUAUGUUCUCUAAUCUGUCUGCUGGCUUCACUCUCUGAGUCACCUCUCUCUUCACUUUUAAGGCUAACGUCUUGCAGCCCAGUGGAGUGGAGAGUGUAGAAAAAGAGACAGAGAAAGGCAAGAAGCGGUCAGCUGUGUCGGGAUCUAGGCACAACUCCUAGGAGGCGAGUGUUAGGGCUUGGAGAAAGUCAAAAGCAGAACAGCUUUUGCAUCAUUUUCCAUGUGACGUUCUGGAAACAGACAACAUUAAAAUCAGCUUACAACAGAGUUAGGCAGAGGGAGGGCUCAAAUUUUGCAUCCAGAAGUUUCCAGAAUGUUCCAGGUAGCCUACGGAGGGAUCUAUAGAAGGUGCUGAUGGUGAUAAUAAGUGAGACUGAUUGAACUUGCUGUAGGAAGGGUGCAGUAGCUCUCAAACUGAGAGCUACAUGGUGACGAGAAAUGAGACAGGGGCAAAAGGUUCAUGGCAACCAGACCCCAGAUGAAAUUUGGCACCAGAAAGAGCCAAGGUAGGGCUGGUCAGUGGGAAGAUGCCUUGAGUGGACUAAGUUGACCACCAGCUGUCCAGGAGCCUACCAGUUGUAGACCCAGCAACUGUGGCCUGCUGGGACAGUGUUGGGGCAAGGGACCAUAUUGUCACAGAGGUCAGCAAGGGCCUCCUGAGCAGUAUUCCGAAACAUUGGGUUCUCUUCUAUAUAUCCCGAAUGCCACCUUGAUGAGACAGAGGAGGGGAAGGAAAUCUGAAAUGACAAAGUCUCUCAAACCAAGAUAAUAUGGCAAUAUCAUUCAUUGGCAGGUUCUAGUUCCUCUAGAUCAAUGAUGACCUUAUGGGCAAAACUUGGGAGGAAGAUUGGUGCAGUUAUGGAACAUCCAGAAGCAACCUUUGCUUUGCACAGCUGAGCUGUGAAGGGAGCGUGUGCUACUGUUUAGUCCUGGUACACAGAAUUCCUACUUUCUCCAGAUUAUAGCAGACAAGCAAACUGGAAGUCACUGUGAAAACCACCUACCUUCUCUGAGCCUCAAUUUCCUUGCUUUUAAAAUGGGAAUAAUAAGGGCCACCUCCCAGGAUUAUGAGGGUAAAAUGAAGAUCGGCGCCAUGAAUAGCAUGACAAAGGUCACAUGCUAGACAUGGGACCGUAAGGCUCUCCCUGCCUUCCACCCCACUGUCUUCCCAUGGACGCUGUCAUGAGAGACACCUAGAGCCAACUGGGACCUGAAUGGCAGCUUGGUGACAGGAAAGAGACAGGCCUCAUUUUAAUGCUUGUGGAGAACCUAGGUGAGGAUCAUCUUGUCACCAGUUGGUGUUUAUUGACACUUAGUAGACUGACUGACUGACUGACUGACUGAAUGAAUGAAUGACAAGGCCUUUACUAGGGACUACGGGAGUCUUAGACACCAAGUGUUGUCAUGUGAGGCUCCAGCGUGUUUUGGUGGGAUCACCUAAAUGGCAGAAGUCAUUUUUUCAGUCUCAUAAGUCUCAUAAGGUGACAGUUCAGAUGUCACCUCCUCCAGGAAGACUUCCGUGAUACUCCCAGUCUGGUUUAGUCACUACUGAGUGCUCCUAUCACUGCACUAUAUGGAUUAGUCUGUCCAUUGAGGUUUUCUCACUUGAUGGUGAGUUCUUAGAGGCAAGAUUACGUCUCAUUUCCUCUCCCCGUGUGCCUAGCACAAGGUUCGGCCCAAGGUGGGCAUGUAGGAGAUCAUAGGAGCCAUUUAUUGAGUGCUUUCAGGUACCUGGUGCUGGGCUAAGUGCUUUAGCUAUGAUAUCCUUGAUUCCUUCAAUAACCUCAGGAGCUAGGGCCACCUCAUCAUGCCAUUGUACAGGUAGAAAAGGUGAGGCUCAGAGACGCUAAGCAGCCUGAUAUUUCUUCCUUGUUUCUAUAUCUUUCUUUGCCAGACUGCCUGGCCUAGAUUCUUGAGGUUUGGGAAUAGCAUAAACCUCAGGGUGUUGAGGCGGUCUGGUUGGCUUGGUGCGUGGGUAGGAAGAUGCAACAAUGAAGAAAGAGUACAUGCUAGCAGCUGGCAUCCACAGUGCAUGCCAGACACAGGACCACAGCACCGAGACCACCCGAGGAGAAAUGCCUCGUGGCCUCUGAAUGGGGAGUGUUAACCACACAUUCUAUAGGACCCAUCUGCUAACUGAUUUGGAACAAAUGGGUGCUUGAGAGCUUGUGCUGUUAACAUGUAUGCAUGAUGCUUCUGGCAGAAAGAAUGGGGAAAACAAAACCCAAAGUCCCCUCCAAAUCCCAGCAACACAUAUGGAAGUACGCAGAGGUGAGCAGACAUAAGAUGUAGACAGCAACACAAAAAUAUCAGCACCAUAGUCAAGAAGGAAGAACAGUGCAACACCCAUUGCAUAUCCCAUUUUAAAAAUAAAAUAAAAUGAGGCCACAAGUUUGCUUUUCCAAGGAGCCCCACAGUCUCCAGAAGUCUCCCAGAGGACCCGUUCCUUUGCGGGCCUUUCCUGCCCAAGCUCCGGGCUACCCGUAAAUCUGACCCUCUCCAGGGCCAGGAGGCCUCAAGAGCUUGGAGACUCACCGGAGCAAACAACUUAGCAAAAACAAUCUGUCCCAUAAACAAAGCCAGUGGAAAGCAUCCAGGCCCACACAAUGGAGCUAAUCUUCUGGGCACACAUUUCCCGUCUGGGGUAUUAGCAAGGAUACCGCUUCCUUCUAGGUGGAGGUAAACGCUGCUUGGCCUACGGGUCCAAGAACAACAAUCCUCUGUAGAUUCCCCCCUUGUUUGAAACGUAACAGGCAGGAAUUCAGAAGCAAGGAGCUGUUCUUCCCCCCUUCCUUUCUUUUCUUAAAGAAGCACUGCAAAUUUAAAGGCCAGGGAACUUAUGGGGAAGGACAUGCUUUAUGAACCACACAACCACACAAGUCUCUGAUUUAGCUCAUUCACUGAUGAGCCCUGUGAUUUGGGACAACUGAUUUAACUUCCCAGAACCAUAACUUCCCCAUGGUUCAAGUGAGAUUGCCUACAGAUGUCCAAUCCUGCUUGUUCUCAUGGAGGUAUAAAAUUAAAAUGUUGAAUGGCCACUAUCAAAAACAAGAAAACAAAC
rnacentral:lncRNA from 10 species